AUUGAACGCUGGCGGCAUGCUUUACACAUGCAAGUCGAACGGCAGCGGGGGCUUCGGCCUGCCGGCGAGUGGCGAACGGGUGAGUAAUGCAUCGGAACGUGCCCAUGUCGUGGGGGAUAACGUAUCGAAAGGUACGCUAAUACCGCAUACGCCCUGAGGGGGAAAGCGGGGGGAUUCUUCGGAACCUCGCGCGAUUGGAGCGGCCGAUGUCGGAUUAGCUAGUUGGUGGGGUAAAGGCCUACCAAGGCGACGAUCCGUAGCGGGUCUGAGAGGAUGAUCCGCCACACUGGGACUGAGACACGGCCCAGACUCCUACGGGAGGCAGCAGUGGGGAAUUUUGGACAAUGGGCGGAAGCCUGAUCCAGCCAUGCCGCGUGAGUGAAGAAGGCCUUCGGGUUGUAAAGCUCUUUCGGCGGGGAAGAAAUUGCUUGGGUUAAUACCCUGAGUAGAUGACGGUACCCGAAUAAGAAGCACCGGCUAACUACGUG
rnacentral:rRNA from 1 species